rnacentral:rRNA from 1 species
AUUGAACGCUGGCGGCAGGCCUAACACAUGCAAGUCGAACGAGGGGCGGACGGGUGAGUAAUGUCUGGGACACUGCCUGAUGGAGGGGGAUAACUACUGGAAACGGUCGCUAAUCCCGCAUCCCCUCAGGUGUUCCCAGAUGGGAUUCGCUAGUGGGUGGGGUAACGGCUCACCAAGGCGACGCUCCCUAGCUGGUCUGAGAGGAUGACCAGCCACACUGGAACUGAGACACGGUCCAGACUCCUACGGGAGGCAGCAGUGGGGAAUAUUGCACAAUGGGCGCAAGCCUGAUGCAGCCAUGCCGCGUGUAUGAAGAAGGCCUUCGGGUUGUAAAGUACUUUCAGCGGGGAGGCGUUACCCGCAGAAGAAGCACCGGCUAACUCCGUGCCAGCAGCCGCGGUAAUUC